UUUCGGACAAGUUAUUUGUGGGAGACUC
rnacentral:sRNA from 1 species